GAAGAGGACACAGCGAGUACAGCUGAUCCCAACUGACCCUGUGGAUAUCCCAGACCAUAUAAUUUUAUGCUUAUCAUAUAAAGCUUGGGAAAAAGGAAGGAAGGGGUGUCGGAUGUGAGAGGUGUUCAGUGUGAUGGUUUUUGUCUUCCCAAGUACAUGUUAUGAAUAAUGGAGCCUGGCUUUCCUCGAGAUGUCUGAAUACCUGCCUGCCAGUAGGAAAUGGUGAAUGAAUUCCUUGUUUCACUUUGCUUGUAUGCACGUAUUUUGCUUUAUUUAUCAAUCAAAUGUCUUUAUCUUAACCCAUGAGUUUUCUCACUUUUGCUCUUUUGAUGCUUUCUCCCAUCCCACUAGGGAGGAGUGAGUGAGUGGCUGUGUGGUGUUUAAUUGCUGAGUGGGUGUCCUAGGUUAAAACAGUGGCAUUAAAACACUCGGGUUCAUAUUUUAUUUCAUUUUAGUACAUAUUAAUGUACAGUCCACUGCACCCUAUGAGCACUUGGGCAUUUUGAAAUUAUCUGAAGAAGGGGCAGUUGUUAAAAGAAAGGGAAAACCAAAUAAGAAAUAGAGAUAUUUGGUAUACAUCAGCUAGAUUCUCUGUAAGCAGCCUGGCAUACAUCAUCCUUUAAUAGAGCUGUAAAGAAUAAUUAAUUUUUCAGUUCAGUGGUCAAACUGAAAAUCUGUGAGGGAGGAAGGAGAAGAGAUGAGUUAGGUAGGGAGAAACAAGGAAAAAUGUAUGGGUCAACCUUAAAUAACAAUUUCUCAUCUUCUCUCACUGAAGCGAAAGAAACACAUACAUUAUCUGUUCCUUUGAAAAAUGGGUCUAGCUGAGUUUCUAAACAAAACCUUCUUCUAGAAGCAAGGUCUGAAGGUCCUGCCUAUGUGGUGGUGACAUUUUUACUUUUCUGAAAUUUCUCCUUCACCUUUCUGUUCCUGGCCAAACCCACCCAAUAAAUUUACUGUUAGUGUGCAAAGACCUUCAUUAAACAUGUAAUCUGUUAAAACCUGAUGCACAGCUUCAAUCUGGUUCUGCAGCAUCGUUUCAACACUUUUUAAACUGUGGACCCUGUGAGAUACUUUCUGCUGAAAGCAAGAUCCCUGCUUUUAAGUCUAUGAACAGUAAGUUUACUUUUCUUGAUGAACUUUUCAAGGAUGUUCUAAAAGGAUCCUCCAAGCCCCCAGGAAUACAUUGUCCAGGGUAGGGGGAUGUACUAUGUUUAAGGCCAUGGAUGAUCUCAGAAUGCCUGGAUUUCCGUCAUGCUUCUGCCAUGAGUUGCAGUACAGGCUUUGUCCUAUUUUCAACUUCUUCCCUUUAAUAGGAGCCACCUGUUUUCUCUGUAUUACAAACAUCAAACCAGACCUGGAGUACUGUGUUCAGCUCUGGGGCCCCCAACAGAAGAAGGACAUGGACCUAUUGGAGUGAGUCCAGAGAAGGCCAUGAAGAUGCUCAGAGGGCUGGAGCACCUCUGCUAUGGAGACAGGCUGAGAGAGCUGGACUUGUUCAACCUGGAGAAGAGAACCCUCUGGGGAGACCUUAGAGCAGCCUUCCACUAGCUAAAAGAUCUGGAGGAGCUGAGUGUAGAGCCCACAUCUUUGAUCACAGCUGAGCAUUGUUUGACGCAGGGAUGAGAGACCCAAAAGGAUGCUGCAAUGCUACAAAAUCAAGGAUGAUGUGACUGGAGAACCAAUGAUAAGCAUCUCCCCCAGCUGCAUUUUAUACUUGCAGAUCCUCUUUCAUUGAACAGGUAAGGGGCCCAAGGACUCUACAGACACAGUAUAUUCCUAAUGAAGAGGGAAGAGUGG